CCGCCAUGGCGGCCGCGGGAAUUCGAUUAGAGUUUGAUCCUGGCUCAGGACGAACGCUGGCGGCGUGCUUAACACAUGCAAGUCGAACGAUGAACCACUUCGGUGGGGAUUAGUGGCGAACGGGUGAGUAACACGUGGGCAAUCUGCCCUGCACUCUGGGACAAGCCCUGGAAACGGGGUCUAAUACCGGAUACUGAUCCUCGCAGGCAUCUGCGAGGUUCGAAAGCUCCGGCGGUGCAGGAUGAGCCCGCGGCCUAUCAGCUAGUUGGCGAGGUAACGGCUCACCAAGGCGACGACGGGUAGCCGGCCUGAGAGGGCGACCGGCCACACUGGGACUGAGACACGGCCCAGACUCCUACGGGAGGCAGCAGUGGGGAAUAUUGCACAAUGGGCGAAAGCCUGAUGCAGCGACGCCGCGUGAGGGAUGACGGCCUUCGGGUUGUAAACCUCUUUCAGCAGGGAAGAAGCGAAAGUGACGGUACCUGCAGUAAGAAGCGCCGGCUAACUACGUGCCAGCAGCCGCCGGGUAAUACGUAUGGCGCAAGCGUUGUCCGGAAUUAUUGGGCGUAAAAGAGCUCGUAAGCGGCUUGUUACGUCGGUUGUGAAAAGCCCCGGGGCUUAACCCCGGGUUCUCAUCUAAUACGCAGCAUAUUCCGGUAGGGGGAGAUCCGGAAUUCCUGGUGUUAUCGGUGAAAUGCUU
rnacentral:rRNA from 1 species